AUUGAACGCUGGCGGCAUGCCUUACACAUGCAAGUCGAACGGCAGCAUGGGUGCUUGCACCUGAUGGCGAGUGGCGAACGGGUGAGUAAUGCAUCGGAACGUACCCGGAAGUGGGGGAUAACGUAGCGAAAGUUACGCUAAUACCGCAUGAGAACUGAGGUUGAAAGCGGGGGACCUUCGGGCCUCGCGCUACUGGAGCGGCCGAUAUCAGAUUAGGUAGUUGGUGGGGUAAAGGCCUACCAAGGCGACGAUCCGUAGCGGGUCUGAGAGGACGGCCCGCCACACUGGGACUGAGACACGGCCCAGACUCCUACGGGAGGCAGCAGUGGGGAAUUUUGGACAAUGGGGGCAACCCUGAUCCAGCCAUGCCGCGUGAGUGAAGAAGGCCUUCGGGUUGUAAAGCUCUUUCGGUCCGGGAAGAAAUCGCUUCGGCUAAUACCUGGAGUGGAUGACGGUACCGGAAGAAGAAGCACCGGCUAACUACGUGCCAGCAGCCGCGGUAAACGU
rnacentral:rRNA from 1 species